rnacentral:misc_RNA from 3 species
CAACCAUCAAGCCCCCGGCUUGUGUUGGGGACCUGCGGCUGCCGCAGGCCCUGAAAACCAGUGGCGGGCUCGCUAGUCACUCCGAGCGUAGUAAUACAUCUCGCUCAGGGCGUGCUGCGGGUUCCGGCCGUUAAAAAGCCUUAUUUACCCAA